rnacentral:rRNA from 1 species
AGUGAACGCUGGCGGCGUGCUUAAUACAUGCAAGUCGAACGAUGAAGUCCUAGCGUGCUAGGAUGGAUUAGUGGCGCACGGGUGAGUAAUAUAUAGUUAAUCUGCCUUGCACUGAGGAACAACAGUUGGAAACGAUUGCUAAUACCUCAUACUCCAACUUUACAUAAGUUAAGUUGGGAAAGUCUUUUCGGUGCAAGAUGAGACUAUAUCGUAUCAGCUAGUUGGUAAGGUAAUGGCUUACCAAGGCUAUGACGCGUAACUGGUCUGAGAGGAUGAUCAGUCACAUGGGAACUGAGACACGGUCCAAACUCCUACGGGAAGCAGCAGUAAGGAAUAUUGUGCAAUGGGGGAAACCCUGACGCAGCAACGCCGCGUGGAGGAUGACACUUUUCGGAGCGUAAACUCCUUUUGUUAGGGAAGAAUAAUGACGGUACCUAACGAAUAAGCCCCGGCUAACUCCGUG